AGAGUUUGAUCCUGGCUCAGGAUGAACGCUGGCGGCGUGCCUAAUACAUGCAAGUCGAGCGAACGGACGAGAAGCUUGCUUCUCUGAUGUUAGCGGCGGACGGGUGAGUAACACGUGGAUAACCUACCUAUAAGACUGGGAUAACUUCGGGAAACCGGAGCUAAUACCGGAUAAUAUUUUGAACCGCAUGGUUCGAAAGUGAAAGACGGUCUUGCUGUCACUUAUAGAUGGAUCCGCGCUGCAUUAGCUAGUUGGUAAGGUAACGGCUUACCAAGGCAACGAUGCAUAGCCGACCUGAGAGGGUGAUCGGCCACACUGGAACUGAGACACGGUCCAGACUCCUACGGGAGGCAGCAGUAGGGAAUCUUCCGCAAUGGGCGAAAGCCUGACGGAGCAACGCCGCGUGAGUGAUGAAGGUCUUCGGAUCGUAAAACUCUGUUAUUAGGGAAGAACAUAUGUGUAAGUAACUGUGCACAUCUUGACGGUACCUAAUCAGAAAGCCACGGCUAACUACGUGCCAGCAGCCGCGGUAAUAC
rnacentral:rRNA from 1 species